CUCGUCAGAUUUGUGAGUCUUUCUGCUGAGCUCAGUAGAUCCUGACUUCCACCUGUUGGGGGCAACCCGCCCCGCUGGGUCUGCUCACACACCAGAAGGCUGGCUGGCGGGCAGCGCGCACACGGGCGCCCGGUCUGAGACCCCGAGCGGCACCAUCCGGAGGGACGGCAGUGAGGAGGCAAGGUCACCUGGGAACGAGGGGGAGGCGGAGAGUCCCCAAAGCUUAAGGAGCGCGAUGGAGAGUCGAUACCGAGAAAGGAAAAGCGAGCUGACUGUAGAAACCUGAUAAAAUUCGUUCCGGAAGUCUUCACCAGUCCCCUUCUAGGUGCCAGUCGAUGUCCCAGGCACCCACCGGAACCAAGGCCAAUGGCAGCACUUCUCAGCCCAG